rnacentral:rRNA from 1 species
UACGUAGGGUGCGAGCGUUUGUCCGGAAUUAUUGGGCGUAAAGGGCUCGUAGGCGGUUUGUCGCGUCGGGAGUGAAAUCCAUUGGCUUAACUGGUGGCUUGCUUUCGAUACGGGCAGACUGGAGGUAUGCAGGGGAGAACGGAAUUCCUGGUGUAGCGGUGAAAUGCGCAGAUAUCAGGAGGAACACCGAUGGCGAAGGCAGGUCUCUGAGCAUUAACUGACGCUGAGGAGCGAAAGCAUGGGGAGCGAACAGG